UACGGAGGGAGCUAGCGUUGUUCGGAAUUACUGGGCGUAAAGCGUGCGCAGGCGGCUGCUCAAGUCAGGGGUGAAAGCCCAGAGCUCAACUCUGGAAUUGCCUUUGAGACUGAGUGGCUUGAGUACGGGAGAGGUGAGUGGAAUUCCCAGUGUAGAGGUGAAAUUCGUAGAUAUUGGGAAGAACACCGGUGGCGAAGGCGGCUCACUGGCCCGUAACUGACGCUCAUGCACGACAGCGUGGGGAUCAAACAGG
rnacentral:rRNA from 1 species